UACAGUGUCACAGUCGGUACAGCAUGAGGCUCUUAAUCUCAGGGUUGUGGGUUUGAGCCCCACAUUAGGUAAAAA